AGAGUUUGAUCCUGGCUCAGGACGAACGCUGGCGGCGUGCUUAACACAUGCAAGUCGAGCGGUAAGGCUCCUUCGGGAGUACACGAGCGGCGAACGGGUGAGUAACACGUGAGUAACCUGCCCUUCACUCUGGGAUAACCCCCGGAAACGGGUGCUAAUACCGGAUACGACCACUUCAGGCAUCUGAUGGUGGUGGAAAG
rnacentral:rRNA from 1 species